GGGUUGUGAGGUUAAGCGACUAAGCGUACACGGUGGAUGCCCUGGCAGUCAGAGGCGAUGAAGGGCGUGCUAAUCUGCGAUAAGCGCCGGUAAGGUGAUAUGAACCGUUAUAACCGGCGAUACCCGAAUGGGGAAACCCAGUGUGAUUCGUCACACUAUCAUUAACUGAAUCCAUAGGUUAAUGAGGCGAACCGGGGGAACUGAAACAUCUAAGUACCCCGAGGAAAAGAAAUCAACCGAGAUUCCCCCAGUAGCGGCGAGCGAACGGGGAGGAGCCCAGAGCCUGAAUCAGCAUGUGUGUUAGUGGAAGCGUCUGGAAAGGCGCGCGAUACAGGGUGACAGCCCCGUACACAAAAGCGCAUGUGCUGUGAGCUCGAUGAGUAGGGCGGGACACGUGGUAUCCUGUCUGAAUAUGGGGGGACCAUCCUCCAAGGCUAAAUACUCCUGACUGACCGAUAGUGAACCAGUACCGUGAGGGAAAGGCGAAAAGAACCCCGGCGAGGGGAGUGAAAAAGAACCUGAAACCGUGUACGUACAAGCAGUGGGAGCACAGGUUUACCUGUGUGACUGCGUACCUUUUGUAUAAUGGGUCAGCGACUUAUAUUCUGUAGCAAGGUUAACCGUAUAGGGGAGCCGGAGGGAAACCGAGUCUUAAUUGGGCGUUAAGUUGCAGGGUAUAGACCCGAAACCCGGUGAUCUAGCCAUGGGCAGGUUGAAGGUUGGGUAACACUAACUGGAGGACCGAACCGACUAAUGUUGAAAAAUUAGCGGAUGACCUGUGGCUGGGGGUGAAAGGCCAAUCAAACCGGGAGAUAGCUGGUUCUCCCCGAAAGCUAUUUAGGUAGCGCCUCGUGAAUUCAUCUCCGGGGGUAGAGCACUGUUUCGGCUAGGGGGCCAUCCCGGCUUACCAACCCGAUGCAAACUGCGAAUACCGGAGAAUGUUAUCACGGGAGACACACGGCGGGUGCUAACGUCCGUCGUGAAGAGGGAAACAACCCAGACCGCCAGCUAAGGUCCCAAAGUCAUGGUUAAGUGGGAAACGAUGUGGGAAGGCCCAGACAGCCAGGAUGUUGGCUUAGAAGCAGCCAUCAUUUAAAGAAAGCGUAAUAGCUCACUGGUCGAGUCGGCCUGCGCGGAAGAUGUAACGGGGCUAAACCAUG
rnacentral:rRNA from 1 species